CGCAUCACGCGUUCAAACUAACAGGCACACAUAAAACUAUGUGCCAGUUCCAGGCACAGGCAAAGGGUCUUACACAAAAGCACCCUCAUUUUGUUUACCUUGAACAACAGAGGUAUUGACUAAGAGAGAUAAUAAUUGUGAAAAUGGAGAAUGAGAUGAUCAAGAUAAAGAGAGAAGCAGUUGAGAAUCAAAAGCUCUCCAGAGAGAGUAAGGGAAAGUCUAUGCUAACAGCUCUACAACUUUAAUCACCACACAAUUUCAACAACAUUAUUACCUUCUUCUCAACACUUCUAGAGCAGGAAUUAUGGAAUAAUUCCAUGGGGACUAGAACAACCUCCAGGAAGUGAUGCAGAGUGAGAGGAGCACAACCAGGAAAACAUCGUACACAGAGACUGAUACACUGUGGUACAAUCGAAUGUAAUGGACUUCUCCAUUAGUGGCAAUGCAGUGAUUCUGAACAACUUGGAGGAAUCUACGAGAAAGAACACUAUCCACAUCUAGAGGAAAAACUGUGGGAGUAGAAACACAGAAGAAAAACAACUGCUUGAAUACAUGGGUCGAAGGGAUAUGAUUGGGGAUGUAGAUUCUAAAUGAACAUCCUAGUGCAAACAUCAACAACAUGGAAAUAGGUUUUGAUCAAGGACACAUGUAAAACCCAAUGAAAUUGCGUGUU